rnacentral:rRNA from 1 species
UACGUAGGGGGCGAGCGUUGUCCGGAUUUAUUGGGCGUAAAGAGCGUGUAGGCGGCCAGGUAGGUCUGCUGUGAAAACUCGAGGCUCAACCUCGAGACGUCGGCGGAAACCAUCUGGCUAGAGUCCGGAAGAGGAGAGUGGAAUUCCUGGUGUAGCGGUGAAAUGCGUAGAGAUCAGGAGGAACACCCGUGGCGAAGGCGGCUCCCUGGUCCGUCCCUGACGCUGAGACGCGAAAGCGCGGGGAGCGAACGGG